GAUGAACGCUGGCGGCGUGCCUAAUACAUGCAAGUCGAGCGAACAGACGAGGAGCUUGCUCCUCUGACGUUAUCGGCGGACGGGUGAGUAACACGUGGAUAACCUACCUAUAAGACUGGGAUAACUUCGGGAAACCGGAGCUAAUACCGGAUAAUAAAUUGAACCGCAUGGUUCAAUAGUGAAAGACGGUUUUGCUUUCACUUAUAGAUGGAUCCGCGCCGCAUUAGCUAGUUGGUAAGGUAACGGCUUACCAAGGCAACGAUGCGUAGCCGACCUGAGAGGGUGAUCGGCCACACGGGAACUGAGACACGGUCCAGACUCCUACGGGAGGCAGCAGUAGGGAAUCUUCCGCAAUGGGCGAAAGCCUGACGGAGCAACGCCGCGUGAGUGAUGAAGGUCUUCGGAUCGUAAAACUCUGUUAUUAGGGAAGAACAAAUGUGUAAGUAACUAUGCACGUCUUGACGGUACCUAAUCAGAAAGCCACGGCUAACUACGUG
rnacentral:rRNA from 1 species